rnacentral:rRNA from 1 species
ACGCUGGCGGCAGGCCUAACACAUGCAAGUCGAGCGGUAGAGAGGAGCUUGCUUCUCUUGAGAGCGGCGGACGGGUGAGUAAUGCCUAGGAAUCUGCCUGGUAGUGGGGGAUAACGUUCGGAAACGGACGCUAGUACCGCAUACGUCCUACGGGAGAAAGCAGGGGACCUUCGGGCCUUGCGCUAUCAGAUGAGCCUAGGUCGGAUUAGCUAGUUGGUGGGGUAAUGGCUCACCAAGGCGACGAUCCGUAACUGGUCUGAGAGGAUGAUCAGUCACACUGGAACUGAGACACGGUCCAGACUCCUACGGGAGGCAGCAGUGGGGAAUAUUGGACAAUGGGCGAAAGCCUGAUCCAGCCAUGCCGCGUGUGUGAAGAAGGUCUUCGGAUUGUAAAGCACUUUAAGUUGGGGGGAAGGGUUGUAGAUUAAUACUCUGCAAUUUUGACGUCACCGACAGAAUAAGCACCGGCUAACUCUGUGCCAGCAGCCGCGGUAAUACAGAGGGUGCAAGCGUUAAUCGGAAUUACUGGGCGUAAAGCGCGCGUAGGUGGUUAGUUAAGUUGGAUGUGAAAUCUCCGGGCUCAACCUGGGAACUGCAUUCAAAACUGACUGACUAGAGUAUGGUAGAGGGUGGUGGAAUUUCCUGUGUAGCGGUGAAAUGCGUAGAUAUAGGAAGGAACACCAGUGGCGAAGGCGACCACCUGGACUGAUACUGACACUGAGGUGCGAAAGCGUGGGGAGCAAAC